GGGAGGCAUAGCUCAGGUUGCCUCGGCUGAAGCGAGCCAUGGGAGAAACCAGCCCCCAGCCAGCAAGCAUGUCCCAGCAGACUCGAGAAAUGGAAACAAAGGACAUUCUGGAACUUGAGUCAAACAUUUACCAAAUUAAUUCUCGAGAAAAUGUUUGAGAUUCCAGGGGCUGGUGGCUAUUUUUUUUCCUUCUUCUUCUUCUUCUUUCUUAACUACGCUACAUCAGGAAGUAAUUGCCUGAUUAAGGGACACAGAGCUUGGAGAGUGACACAUUUUUUAAAAUUAGAACGCCCCUGCCAACAGACAUGUACGCCGCGGGUUGUCUCUUCCUCAAGCAACUCGACCCUAAACGAGAAACAGCAGCGAUGGAAAAAGACAAGGAAGGGAGUGACCUCCUGACCUCCAAGGCCCCAGCUGCUCCCCGACACAUGUACCUUCGUUUGUGUAAACCAGGGCUCAUGGGAAGAUGUCAAUUCCAAGCCCCGAGAGUGGGGAGCACACCGCAGGCAGGGCAGUAGGACUACAGGGCUCCUAUGACCUGGGUGCCACCAUCCGGGCCAGCAGAUGACAGGACCCACAGGGAAAUAAUAAAGUGACCAUAGAGAAAAUUAUUGUGGGAGACCAAAGAAAGAGCGAGUUGCAGCUAUUCCUGUUCUACAGUGUGACAGCUGCCAGCACGCACCCCUUAUCAGUCUUCAAACUCCCUAGACCUCAUGCAGCAGCCUCUUUUGCACCAAAAAGGCCCUUCUGAGGACUGAAGAGACUGUACCCCUCCCUCCAGGCCAUUGCCUAACCAGCUUCUCCGUCAGCACCGGGGGCGUUGAGACUGUUUCUUUUCCGAGUGUUGGUGUCUGUGUGUGUUGUCUCUAAGCUGCAAGGGCCGUACCAGCUGCCUUGUUCUCUGUUCUACCAUUUGGAGCAGGCCUAGUAUGGUUUUGUUCAUAGUAAACAUUUGCCGGUGAAAGGAUAGAUGGAUGGGUGGAUAGAAAGGUGAACGGAGGAGUGGAGAUUGGUAGGUGAAUGUGUGGGUAGAUGGGUAUGGUGGUUUGAAUAUACUCACCCAGGGAGUGGUACUAUUAGGAGGCGUGGCCUUGUUGGAGUGGGUAUGGCCUUGUUGGAGUGGCUGUGGCCUUGUUGGAGUAGGUGUGUCAUUGUGGGCUUUAAGACCCUCACACUAGUUGCCUGGAAGCCAGUAUUCUGCUAGCAGCCUUCAGAUGAAGAUGUAGAACUCUCAGCUCCUGCCUGGACACUGCCAUGUUCCCGCCUUGAUGAUAAUGGACUGAACCUCUGAACCUGUAAACCAUCCCAAACUAAACAUUGUUUUUAUAAGA